rnacentral:rRNA from 1 species
CGGCACGGGUGAGUAACACGUAUCCAACCUGCCGUCUACUCUUGGACAGCCUUCUGAAAGGAAGAUUAAUACAAGAUGGCAUCAUGAGUCCGCAUGUUCACAUGAUUAAAGGUAUUCCGGUAGACGAUGGGGAUGCGUUCCAUUAGAUAGUGGGCGGGGUAACGGCCCACCUAGUCUUCGAUGGAUAGGGGUUCUGAGAGGAAGGUCCCCCACAUUGGAACUGAGACACGGUCCAA